UACACACCGCCCGUCACACCAUGGAAGUUGGUUGCACCAGAAAUAGGUAGCCUAACCGCAAGGAGGGCGCUUACCACGGUGUGGCCAAUGACUGGGGUG
rnacentral:rRNA from 1 species